rnacentral:rRNA from 1 species
UACGUAGGGUGCAAGCGUUUAAUCGGAAUUACUGGGCGUAAAGCGUGCGCAGGCGGUUAUGUAAGACAGAUGUGAAAUGCCCGGGCUUAACCUGGGAACUGCAUUUGUGACUGCAUGGCUAGAGUUUGGCAGAGGGGGGGUAGAAUUCCACGUGUAGCAGUGAAAUGCGUAGAUAUGUGGAGGAACACCGAUGGCGAAGGCAGCCCCCUGGGUCAAGACUGACGCUCAUGCACGAAAGCGUGGGGAGCAAAC